AUUGAACGCUGGCGGCAGGCCUAACACAUGCAAGUCGAGCGAGCGGCGGACGGGUGAGUAAUGGCUGGGAAACUGCCUGAUGGAGGGGGGUAACUACUGGAAACGGUAGCUAAUACCGCAUCCCAUCAGCUGUGCCCAGAUGUGAUUAGCUAGUAGGUGGGGUAACGGCUAACCUAGGCGACGAUCCCUAGCUGGUCUGAGAGGAUGACCAGCCACACUGGAACUGAGACACGGUCCAGACUCCUACGGGAGGCAGCAGUGGGGAAUAUUGCACAAUGGGCGAAAGCCUGAUGCAGCCAUGCCGCGUGUGUGAAGAAGGCCUUCGGGUUGUAAAGCACUUUCAGUGGGGAGGCGUUACCCGCAGAAGAAGCACCGGCUAACUCCGUGCCAGCAGCCGCGGUAAUUC
rnacentral:rRNA from 1 species